AUUGAACGCUGGCGGCAGGCUUAACACAUGCAAGUCGAGCGGGGUGAUGGUGCUUGCACUAUCACUUAGCGGCGGACGGGUGAGUAAUGCUUAGGAAUCUGCCUAUUAGUGGGGGACAACAUCUCGAAAGGGAUGCUAAUACCGCAUACGUCCUACGGGAGAAAGCAGGGGAUCACUUGUGACCUUGCGCUAAUAGAUGAGCCUAAGUCGGAUUAGCUAGUUGGUGGGGUAAAGGCCUACCAAGGCGACGAUCUGUAGCGGGUCUGAGAGGAUGAUCCGCCACACUGGGACUGAGACACGGCCCAGACUCCUACGGGAGGCAGCAGUGGGGAAUAUUGGACAAUGGGGGGAACCCUGAUCCAGCCAUGCCGCGUGUGUGAAGAAGGCCUUAUGGUUGUAAAGCACUUUAAGCGAGGAGGAGGCUCUUUUGGUUAAUACCCAGAAUGAGUGGACGUUACUCGCAGAAUAAGCACCGGCUAACUCUGUGCCAGCAGCCGCCGUAA
rnacentral:rRNA from 1 species